GAUGAACGCUAGCUACAGGCUUAACACAUGCAAGUCGCGGGGUCUGUUUCUGCAGACGACCGGCGCACGGGUGAGUAACGCGUAUCCAACCUGCCCCUCUCUUUGGCAUAGCCUUUCGAAAGAGAGAUUAAUUCCGAAUAACGUAGUAACGUUGCCUGAUGAUACUACGAAAGCUCUGGCGGAGAGGGAUGGGGAUGCGUUCCAUUAGGUAGUAGGCGGGGUAACGGCCCACCUAGCCAACGAUGGAUAGGGGUUCUGAGAGGAAGGUCCCCCACACUGGAACUGAGACACGGUCCAGACUCCUACGGGAGGCAGCAGUGAGGAAUAUUGGUCAAUGGUCGGAAGACUGAACCAGCCAAGUAGCGUGAAGGAUGAAGGUUCUAUGGAUUGUAAACUUCUUUAUACGGGAAUAAAACCUCCCACGUGUGGGAGCUUGUAUGUACCGUAUGAAUAAGCAUCGGCUAACUCCGUG
rnacentral:rRNA from 1 species